ACCAUAUGGAGCCAGGCAUCUCAAUGACCACAAAUUGGAACUGCACUAUUUCUGUUACUUCUUUUGUUAUCACUUCAUCAAAUCACGCAAAGUAUAUAGAGGUGUUACCCUGCAUAUACGUGAUCCAUAGGGUGAAUUCUACAUUCUGGUCAUGAACAUGCUCGGACCAAGUCUUUGGGAUAUUUGGAGUUCAUUAGGCCAAUCGAUGACACCAAAGUCGACAGCUUGUGCAUCGAAAGCUUCUCUGUGGUUUUCGUUUUUGGAUAUAAAGUAUCGGACCAGGUUUGUUAGAUCUGUUUCUUGCUGUGUUUUGGUAAAUGAAGUUGAACUUGU